rnacentral:lncRNA from 1 species
GCAUACGCCACCACUCUGCCAUCCUACAUCACGAUGAAGCGUAACCCUGUAUUUGAGGCAUCACUGUAAAUCACAUACUCACCCCCAACAACCGGCAAGGUGAGUAUUGGUGUGGUGGUGAGCCUCGUCUUCAGGUCCUCAAAACUCUUGUGCCAAGCCUUACUCCAUACAAAAGGCGUGUCCUUCUUAGUCAGCUUUUGGAGUUGUUCUGCUAUCUUGAGAACCCAUCUAUGAACUUCCU